rnacentral:rRNA from 1 species
UACGUAGGCAGCGAGCGUUGUUCGGAGUUACUGGGCGUAAAGGGUGUGUAGGCGGCUGUUUAAGUUUGGUGUGAAAUCUCCCGGCUCAACUGGGAGGGUGCGCCGAAUACUGAAUGACUUGGAGUGCGGGAGAGGAGAGUGGAAUUCCUGGUGUAGCGGUGAAAUGCGUAGAUAUCAGGAGGAACACCGGUGGUGUAGACGGCUCUCUGGACCGUAACUGACGCUGAGACACGAAAGCGUGGGUAGCAAACAGG